CCCCCUGGAGAGCCUAUCAAGAUACAGAAUAGUUCCAACUCGCUGAACACUUCGAGUACUCCCUUUUAGUAUCGCCCAAGGAAAACAACUCCAGGACCAUGUGGAUUCCUGCAACAGAGAGGAAUUGACAGGACUGCUCCAGCCAUGAAGACAGAAGAGAAACAGUACAGAGAUGGAAGACGCUGACAACGCCUUGCCAUACUAGCAGACAGUAGCUGUGCGUUGCUGAAGGAUGCCCAGGACCAAACCAGAGACGGUCGGACCUGCAUCACCACCAUUUGUCCGCCAUCCAGAACUGAAAUAUCAACGCUGACAUCUACACAUAAGGAACUGUUUGACAUUGAAAUAAGGACUCAAAAGAACUGUUGGCCCAGAAAGAAACUCACUACAGACUGAUUCAUUUGCCUCCCAGCAUAACCAUUAUGGCUGGUCUCUUUUUCGAUUCUUACAAGUGUAUAUUUGUAUCACAUGAUCUCACGCAUCUAGGGGAAAUAAUGAGCAACAUAAACGAAUGAACAAAAACAGACCCGGAGACAGGGAAGCAUCGAUCAGACUCUUAAACCUCAGAGGGAAGGU